AUGGCGCAAGCCCCAGGAGAUCCCUUCUCGUCGGGCUUCCGACACGCCGCGCAACCACACGUCGAGAAAUACCUCUUGCCGUUGAAGAAGAGGGCGGCGCCCACGAGCGACGGUGGCGACCGCAGCAGCGCCGGCGAUCCGUUCGUGGUCCCGCCGAAGAAGAGACGGGUGAUGGUGGACACCGGGGGCGAGGGCAGCACCAGCACCCACGCGAUCCCGGCUCAGAGCCGGCCUAGGCGAGUGGCGGCGUGCAACGUUGCGUACGCGAGCAUGGAGGACGAGGAAGCCGGCACGUCGACGGCCGGGGCGGCAGGAUCGAAGAAGAAGAACAGGAACAGGAAUAGCGGUAAAAAGAAGGGACCGCGGCCGGCACGGGGCGCCGCCGCCCCGCUGGUCAACAGGCCGCUGCGCCUCAGCAUGGAGCAGCAGCAGCACCUGAGGUCGCUCGGCGCCACGGCCCCGCAGUUCGUCUUCAUGAAGACCCUCCAGAAGAGCGACGUGGAGCGCAACCAGAACCGGCUGCUCUUCUCGUGCAAGCGCGAGUUCAUCCAGGCCCACCCCAUCACCUGGCUCCUGGCCGAGGAGGAGACAUACUUCGUGCAUGAGUGGGGCGACGGGCUGAGCGUGGGCGUCAUGGACGACCACGACAAGCAGUUCAACUUCAAGCUCAAGUACCUCGACUCCAACGGCGGGUACCGCUUCAUCGGCCCCGGCUGGAAGGACUUCGUGGCCGAGAACAAGCUGCUGGAGCCGGUGAGCGACGGCCUUCACUUUGUCAUCGAGCUGUGGGCGUUCCGGUCGCCGUUGUUGCCCGCGCAGGCGCAGCCCGAGGGUCCCGACGUCGAGGGUCUGGAGGGCCACCCUGACGGCACCCUCGGGUUUCUCUUCCGAGUGUAUCACGACGAGAGCAGGGACGACGUCCACCGCGGCGGCGAGAUAGAAAGGCGACCGGUCCAGAAGACGAAGAGGCAGGCGCCGGCCAAGGCGGUGCCAUCAAAGAAGCUUGCGGGUGCCGGUGCGCAUGUGAGUCAGGGCCAAGCCGUGGCGCGGGACGUGACGAGGGCUGAGAUAGUCGAGGCGGUUGGGGAGGAAAUGGCGGAUGCCUUGUUCGGGCUGUUGAUGCUAAGGUCCAGUGGGCCCGUUCCAAUGCUUAAAUUUGAAAAUACAUCGUCUGCUCAGAUUUGCUAG
rnacentral:rRNA from 1 species